AUUGAACGCUGGCGGCAGGCUUAACACAUGCAAGUCGAGCGGGGGAAGGUAGCUUGCUACCGGACCUAGCGGCGGACGGGUGAGUAAUGCUUAGGAAUCUGCCUAUUAGUGGGGGACAACAUCUCGAAAGGGAUGCUAAUACCGCAUACGUCCUACGGGAGAAAGCAGGGGAUAUUCGGACCUUGCGCUAAUAGAUGAGCCUAAGUCGGAUUAGCUAGUUGGUGGGGUAAAGGCCUACCAAGGCGACGAUCUGUAGCGGGUCUGAGAGGAUGAUCCGCCACACUGGGACUGAGACACGGCCCAGACUCCUACGGGAGGCAGCAGUGGGGAAUAUUGGACAAUGGGGGGAACCCUGAUCCAGCCAUGCCGCGUGUGUGAAGAAGGCCUUAUGGUUGUAAAGCACUUUAAGCGAGGAGGAGGCUACUUUAGUUAAUACCUAGAGAUAGUGGACGUUACUCGCAGAAUAAGCACCGGCUAACUCUGUGCCAGCAGCCGCCGCGG
rnacentral:rRNA from 1 species